GAUUGAGAUGAUGAUGGAAAUUGUUUUCCCUAUUGGUUUGAUUGCCGAUAUGAUGGCGACAAUGUAUUAGCUCUAUCUGAUCAAUUUCUUUUGAUUAAUUUGUUGUUUGAAUUGAAUUUUGAAGAUUUUGUUUAAGAGUUAAUAUCGGUUCUUCUGCGAAUGAUGUGAUGAUUAAUAGAUUCCCUAUUGGUUUGAUUUGCCAGAAUGAUGGCCAAAUUAGUAUUAGCUCUGUCUGAUCAUUC
rnacentral:lncRNA from 1 species